rnacentral:rRNA from 1 species
UACGGAGGGUGCAAGCGUUAAUCGGAAUUACUGGGCGUAAAGCGCACGCAGGUGGCUGAGCGAGUCGAUUGUGAAAGCCCUGGGCUUAACCUGGGAGUUGCAGUCGAUACUACUCAGCUAGAGUAUGGGAGAGGGUAGUGGAAUUCCCGGUGUAGCGGUGAAAUGCGUAGAUAUCGGGAGGAACAUCAGUGGCGAAGGCGGCUACCUGGCCCAAUACUGACACUCAGGUGCGACAGCGUGGGGAGCGAACAGG